CAGCUUAAUGUUUACUGUGUUUAAACUCUUUUGGAUAAACCAUACUGAAUCAAUUCAGAUCCAGUAGGAUGUGUGCAGUGUCUGAAAAUGAGCUAUUCACUUUGCUGGAUGCCUGGUCCCAAACUCUGCCAACCUCUUAUUCUGGAGAGAAUUGAAACUCUCUGCUUAAAGAAUAAUCUUAAAGAGAUGGCUGUGGCCCUCUCAUGUGUAUUCUCUGUUAAGGACCUGGAUCCUAGGUUCAGUAUUAGUCUCACCAGAAUUAUUGGCAACCAUAACUUAACUAACAUAAUUUACAGAUUCUUCUUUGAUGAGAACAGAAUGCCUCAAAUAGGAAAUGCUCCUUUAAUGUGGAUUCUCAAAUGAGAAGACACAUGAAAAAACCUAAACUCAACUCAAAACCUAGACCUGAGCUGAUCUCAAAACAUGUGAGAGAGAAAUCAAUGUUGGUAUAAACCACCAAGAUAUCAGGGUCGUUUGUUACACAGCAUUAUCUCUACAAACACUGACUAACAUAUGACUUCAUAAGGAAAAAUGUAAACAUUUUCAAACAACAACAUAUUAGGGCCAUAUAAUUCCUAUGUCAGCUCCAGGGAAUGACUCUGUUAACUCUGCUUGGAUUACGACCACACCAAUCAAUGUGUCUAGAGAAAGGAGCCAUCAUGUUUCAUAAAGCUAGUGUUCUGAGAGUGACUCCCUACCCAAACCAUAUAAAGUUUGGGAAAAUUUACCCAAAAAAAAGAGAAAAAGAUUAAAAAACGUGGGGCAAACAAAACUCAAGCUAUCACAUACCAUUUAUAUAAUUGAAUUUUCCUCUAUCAAGUAAUUUAUUGGGGCCCAGAAAACUUCAAAAUAAUAAUGAGCAUUUAAAGUAAUGAUUCGUUUUGUUCUGAGAGCCUAUGGGAAUUUUCUUGAUUAUCUUUCUGCACUUUCUUCAAUUUUACUUAGGAAAAAGUUUGUCAAGGAGAUGAGAUCUCAAUAUUAUAAAAAAGAGAAAAAGAACUACAUG
rnacentral:lncRNA from 1 species